UACGGAGGGUGCAAGCGUUAUCCGGAUUCACUGGGUUUAAAGGGUGUGUAGGCGGGCUAUUAAGUCAGCGGUGAAAUCUCCGGGCUCAACCCGGAAACUGCCAUUGAUACUAUUAGUCUUGAAUAUCGUUGAGGUUGGCGGAAUAUAUCAUGUAGCGGUGAAAUGCAUAGAUAUGAUAUAGAACACCGAUUGCGAAGGCAGCUAACUAAGCGAUGAUUGACGCUGAGGAGCGAAAGCGUGGGGAGCGAACAGG
rnacentral:rRNA from 1 species